AUAAAAAUGAUACUUUAUGUGUCAAAUAUCAUGUCAAAAGUGCGAUUGUCGUUAUUUUAAAGGCGAACUGUACUUUUGACAUGACAGUUGACCCAUAGAGUUAAAAUGGCGUGUGAGAAGUCAUUUUGUACGGACUAUAU